AUGGGCAGCAAUGGAGGCGCCGACGGAGCAGGGUUCAACACGGACGCACUGGAGGGCGUGCGCGCCAUCCUGUUGAAACCGUCAGAGUCCCUCGACGAGUCCACCAGGAUCGCCGGCCCCGACUUCAACGACGCCGGCCUCGGCCUUGCCGGGAUGCUCGGGUCGCUCGCCUCCACGGGUUUCCAGGCCUCCCACCUCGGCGACGCCAUCGACGUCGUCAAUCAGAUGCUGGAUUGGAGGCUGUCGCACGAGAAGCCAAGCGAGGACUGUGACGGAGCUGAACUUGAACCCAAGUACAGGGAAUCUGUGAAGUGCAAGAUAUUCCUCGGUUUCACUUCAAACCUUGUGUCUUCUGGCAUACGGGAUGUGAUACGGUUUCUGGUUCAACAUCAUAUGGUGGAUGUUAUUGUUACGAGUGCUGGGGGUAUAGAGGAAGAUCUCAUUAAAUGCCUUGGACCAACAUACCGAGGUGAUUUUUCUUUACGAGGAGCAUUGUUGCGGUCGAAAGGACUAAACCGGAUUGGAAAUCUCUUGCUGCCCAAUGAUAACUAUUGCAAGUUCGAGAAAUGGAUCAUGCCAGUCCUUGACCAGAUGCUACUAGAACAAUCAACUAAGAAUGUCUGGACACCAUCAAAGGUGAUUGGUCGUCUUGGUAAAGAAAUAAAUGAUGAAAGCUCCUACCUUUAUUGGGCACACAAGAACAAUAUUCCUGUAUAUUGCCCCGCAUUGACUGAUGGAUCAAUUGGAGACAUGUUGUUUUGCCAUGCCGUUCACAAUCCUGGUCUUAUUAUCGACAUUGUACAAGAUGUAAGGUUGAUCAAUGAUGAAGCUAUUCAUGCUACCCCAAGGAAGACAGGGGUUAUAAUUCUUGGAGGAGGCCUCCCAAAGCAUCAUAUAUGCAAUGCAAAUAUGCUCCGCAAUGGUGCGGAUUAUGCCGUCUAUAUCAACACGGCUCAAGAGUUUGAUGGUAGUGAUUCAGGAGCACAUCCAGAUGAAGCAGUUUCAUGGGGAAAGAUUAAGGGUUCAGCACAACCUGUAAAGGUUCAUUGCGAUGCGACUGUCGCUUUUCCAUUACUUGUUGCUGCAACAUUUGCACGUACGUUUCAUGGUGUGAAUUGA
rnacentral:rRNA from 1 species